ACUUGUAGGUUAAACGUGGGAUUAAAUGAGAUAAACUUUUCAGUAUCUGCUUAGCUCAAGGUUUAUCACUGAACAGAAACUCUGGAAACUGCAGGUGCUGUUAGCCUGCCGUGGAGAAGGCUUCAGUGUAUUAAGAUUUCUGCUGCAAGCAUCAUUCUAUGAAAGUCUGGAUCACUUAAAAAAGUUAGAGUGGCCUUCUAGCAAAGCUCAUAGUUGCAAAAUCUAAGCAUUGAGAGGACGUGCUGUGAUGAACUUGGUUCCAGUUAAUGAGAACUCGGUGACAUAUAAACCAUAAAAAUACUAGAAAAAAAAAUCUCGCCGUCUUUGUUUGUAUUACACUGACACAGUCUGCUGCAUUGGCGAUCUAACAGAGUGGAUGUUGAAGUAUUAGGAGGAAAGAGAGUCCAAUGACAGAAAUUGUAAAAUCGGUCAUGGUAUAAAUGGAGUGGGAGACUCUAAUAAGCAAGAGAAUGGCUUUGCUGGUACAUAUUAUCAUUAUGAGGCAGCAAAAGAAGUCAUGUAGAAAUGCCAUGUCACUCCCCAGACUCCACCUGUGAGAUGACAUUUAGCCAGGACACAUGUACGAGGCAGAGAGCCAGGCCAGUGUCCAGGCAAAGAGAAAUGGAGCGACGUAAACACGUAAGAAGAAUGUCAGGACUAAAUCAGCUCAUGAGUACAGGUGGGAAGAAACACUCUGACACUAAACAAUAAACAGGCUCAUUCUGGUCAUGUUUAGAGUUGGAAGCGCAAGGCAGCAAUCAACCUCUGCUUGGGGAUGAUGAGAUGAAAGUACGGAUGAUAAAAAGUGGAUCUCUUCCGCGUCAUUUUGUCCCCAUCCUCUUCAUCAAAGAGCAUACUCUUACAAAAGGAAAACAGGUCACACUCUUGGAUUAAAGGCCAUGAUAGAUGAGGAAAUGAAAACAAAAAUUCCCUUAGAUCUUUCACCUGAAUUCAGGGUAGACUCAGGUUAAUCCCCUGCCAGGCCACUGAAAGAAUUAGAAAUGUGAUGAGUGAUGCUGGAAAUCCUGGGACGUGAUGAGGAAUCGUAGAUGCGUCGGAGAGCUGCGCUAAGUCAGCUCUCCCGAGCUUUAAAAGCAUCCUAGAAAUUAUAAAUUGGUUUAUAGACUCCCAUCAUCCAUAAUAAAGCAUAUAUAUUGUAUAAACACACAUCACAAAUAAUUUUUAAACCUUCAGGAAAACAUGAGGGGCAGAAAGGUUUGCAGAAGUAAGUCAUUGCAAACCAACCUGACUACAUAGCUGAGUAAAGCCAGUUAAAAAUUAAGCUACACUUUCUCAUCUAUAAAAUCAGAGGAAUUCAUUUCUAAGGUUCCUAAUGUUCUAAGAAUUUAGGGUAGAGUUUAGGUUCAUUUGAUUUGGAGGGGGCUUUUCUCGGUGUUAUUUAAAAAAUUGUGCUAAAAGAUACAUCACAUGAAAUUUAACCAUUUACUUAAUUAAUUUAUUUAUUUAGUCUUUUUGCCUUUUCUAGGGCCGCUGCCUCGGCAUAUGGAGGUUCCCAGGCUAGGGGUCAAAUCGGAGCUGUAGCUGCUGGCCUACACCAGGGCCACAGCAACACGGGAUCCGAGCCGUGUCUGCAACCUCCACCACAGCUCACGGCAAUGCUGGAUCCUUAACCCACUGAGCAAGGCCAGGGAUCGAACCCGCAACCUCAUGGUUCCUAGUCAGACUCGUUAACCACUGCGCCACAACAGAAACUCGGUAAUUUAACCAUUUUACAGUGGAUAGCGCAGGAGUGUUAGUUUGUGCAGUAGAUCAUGCUGCAAAAUUGGAACUCCGUACCUGUUGAAUGACUUUCCUUUUCUGUCCCUGUCCCCUGCCCGCAGCCCCUGCUCUUCACAUUCUACUUCUGACUAUGUGUUUGACUGCUUCGGAUGCCUCAUAUACGAAGAAUCAUGCAAUAUUUAUCUUUUGUGUGUGUGGUGGGCUUAGUUCACUUAGAAACAUAUCCUCUUCUCAAGGUUCAUCCUUUUUACAGCCAAUGAUAAGAUUUCCUUUUUUCCUUAAGGCUGAAGAAUAUUCCAGGGCAUGUAGAGACCACGUUUUGCUCAUCCAUUCAUCUGUCAGUGGACACUGCGCUUCCUUCUUUGGGGAAUUGUGACUAAUGUUGCAGUGAGUAUGGGUGUGCGGAUGGCCCUUGGAGGCCUGUUUUCCAUGUUUUUGUUUAUCUCUAGAGGUAGGAUUACUGAAUCAUACGAUAAUUCUACUUUUAGGUUUUCCAGCUUUACUGGGCUCUACUUAGCAUAUACCAUGGUGUAAGCUUGAGGUAUGGGCAUAGCGAUUUGAUAAAUAUGCUUACGUUGCAAAACUGUUACCAUAGUGACAUUGGUUCACAAAGCCAUCGCCUCACAUAAUUUUUGUGUGCACGAGGUGAGCAUUUUGAAAAUCUCCUCUCCUAGCAGCUUUCAGAUGCGCAGUGUCAUUGCAGUGCUGCACGUUAGGUCCUCAGGACUUGGUCAUCUUCUAACUGGAAGUUGACCUCUGGUCACCAUCACCCGUUUCCCGCACCUCCCGUCAGCUCACUCCUGGCAACCACCGGUCUGUUCUCUAGUUUCUAUGAGCUGGAUUGUUUUAGAGUCUACAUACAAAUGAGAUCAUGCAGGGCUUGCCUUUCUCACUUCACAUAAUGCCUUCGAGGUCCAUCCAUUUGUCACAACGGACAGAAUUUCUUUUUUGUGGCCAAAUAGUAUUCUAUUAUAUAACCUGUUAUAUAUAGAUAUAUAAAAACAUUUGUAUACACUCAUAUAUAUAUAUAUACAUAUAUAUAUAUAAAUCAUUCAUAGUGUAUAAAAAUACAACUGAUUUUUGUUGACUUCGUAUCCUAUUACUUGAUGAAUUUAUUAGUUCUAAUAACUUUUUGUAGAAUCUUUAAGGUGUUGUGCAUUUAAGAGCAUGUUGUCUGUGAACAGAGAUAGUUUUACUUCUUCCUUUUCAGCUCGGAUGUCUUUGAUUUCUUUUUCUUGCCUGAUUGUUCUGGAUAGGACUUUCAAUUGAAUAGAAGUGAUAGAAAUGGGCAGGCUUGACUUCUCCCUGAUCUUACAAGAAACGGAAAGUUUUCCACCAUUGAAUAGGAUGUUAGCUGUGGGCUUUUCACAUAUGGCUUUUUUAUGUUGAGGUAAUCUCUUUGUUUCUAGCUUGUUGAGCAUUUUUCCUGUGAGUGGGUGUUGGCUUUUGUCGAAUGCCUUUUCCGUGCCAUUUGAGAGGAUCACAUGGAUUUUUUUUUAUUUGAGAUGAUCAUAUGGAUCCAUUGUUUUGUUUUGCUUUUUUUGGCUGCACUCUCGGCAUUUGGAACUUCCCGGGGCCCUGGAUUAAACCUGCACCACAGCAGCCACCUGAGCUGCUGUGGUGACAAUGCUGGAUCCAUAACCUGCCGAGCUGCAGAACUCCUCCUCUGUUUUGUUAAUGUAGUGUAUGGUGUUAAUUCAUUGGAGCAUCUUUACAGCCCAGGAGUAAAUCCCACUUGGUCAUGGUGUGUAACACUUUCGUGUACUGUUGAAUUCACUUUGCUAGUGUUUUGUUAAGGAUUUUUGCAUCAAUAUUUGUCAUGGAUAUUGGUCUGUAGUAGAAAUCUGCUCAAAUGUUUUAUUUCUUUAUGAUUCAGUACUGGUGUGUUGCAAGUUUUAGAAAUUUACCCAUUUCUACUAGGUUAUCCAAUGAUCGCAUGAGAUUCCUCAUAGCAGCCUCUUAUACUCUUUUAUUUUUUAUUUUUUGUCUUUUUUCUUUUAGGACGACACCCAUGGCCUAUGGAAGGUCCCAGGCUAGGGAUUGAAUCUGAGCUGUAGAUGCUCCCAUAGCCACAGCAAUGCAAGAUUCGAGCCUCAUCUGCGACCUACACCCCAGCUCACGGCAACUCCGGAUCCUUAACCCACUGAGCAAGGCCUGGGAUCGAACCUGCAUCCUCAUGGAUAGUAGUCAGGUUCGCCUCCGCUGAACCAUGACGGAAACUCCUCUCAUACUCUUUUUAUUUCUGUGGCAUUAGUUGUAAUAGCUCCUUUUUCACUUCUGAUUUAUGUAUUUGAGUUUUCUGUUCUCAGUCUAGCUAAAGGUUUGUCAAUUUUAUUUAUCGUUUCAAAAACAACUUUUGGUUUCAUUGAUCUAAUCUUUAUUAUUUCCUUCCUUCUCCUAAUUUUUGGCUCAUUAUUUUUCUAGAUCCUUGAUGUGUAAAGUGAUGUUGCUGAUUUGAGAUCUUCCUUCUUUUUGAACGUAGGUGUUUAUUGCUGUAAACCUUACCUUGGGUACUGAUUUAAUACAUCCAGUAGUUUGGGUAUGUUGUGUUUUUGCUUUUGUUUGCCUCGAGAUAUUUUCUAAUAUCCUUUGUGAUGUUUUCUUUGACUGACUGUUUUUUCAAGAGUGUGUUGUUUGGAGUUCCCGUUGUGACUCAGUGGGCUAUGAACCUGACUUGUAUCCAUGAUGAUGCAGGUUCAAACCCUGGCCUCGUUCCGUGGGUUAAGGAUCUGGCAUUGCCGUGAGCUGUGGUGUAGGUCAAAAACGUGGCUCAGACCCCAUGUGGCUGUGGUUGUGGUGUAGGCUGGAAGCUGCAGCUCUGAUUGGACCCCUAGCCUGGGAACCUCCAUAUGCCACAGGCGCAGCCCUAAAAAGGAAAAAAAAAAAAAGGUUGCGUUGUUUAAUUUCCACAUAUUUGUGAAACUUCAAGUUAUUCCUCUGGUAUUAACUUUUUAGUUUAAUUCCAUUGUGGGCAGAAAAGAUAACUGGUGUGGUUUCAAUCUUCUUACAUUUGUAAGACUUGUUUUGUGGUCUAACGUAUUAUAAUAUAUAAUCUAUUCCAGAGAAUGUUCUGUGUUCACUGCUCUUGCUGGGUGGAGUGCUUCGUGUGUGUCUAUCAGGUCGUAUUGAUCUGUGAUGUUCAAGUCCUCAUUGUCCUUGCUGUCUUCUGUCUGGUUGUUCCAGCCAUUAGUGAAAGGAUGGGUUCGCUAGUGAGG
rnacentral:lncRNA from 1 species